rnacentral:lncRNA from 1 species
CUUGGCAUUGUAGUCGAUCAGGCAACCCUUGGCCAGCAGCAGGUCCUAAGAGCAGAUGAUCAGAUUUCUUGUAUUGUUUCCUUUGUGGAACUUCUGCAGCUGAGUGCUGCCGUAGUUCUAAAACUGGAAAGAAAAAAAAGACAAUUUUACCAUUCAUUCUUUUUUUUUUUAAAAGAACUAGAUUAAGAAUAUCGAAAAGGGAAUUAACUCUCAGUAUUAACCUGAGAGCAUGUGAACUAAAACAAAAAACAACGGCAAACAUAAUAGGAACGGGCGCCACCCACUGCACACUCUCUUUCCUAGCAUUUCGCGAGGAGUUCGCCGGAAAACGGAUUACGGUGUAAUUAGCAACUCGAUUUCGCCGGAGCAAGAGAAUAGUUAUGUCUGAUUUGAAAUUGGGGAGUAAUCAAUCGGAUGCGGGUUCUCUCCAAAUUUGGAAUCCGGUAGAACCGAUUGAGCUUUGGCUAGAUCUUUUAAUCUAAAUUUUCUUUAUUUUUUUUUCUUUCUUAUUUUGCC